UCUCACCUCUUCAAUUCCUGCCUGAGAUGAGAUGUAGGUUCUGUCUUUGCUGGCUGCCAGGCUGGGUUGUUAGCAGCUUGGAGAUGGUGCCAACAGGAAUCUCUGGAAACAGCUCUCUUCCCGGAGUUCUCGUGCUUGGAGCUCUGAAGUUUCGUGCUCCUUUGUCUUGUCAGCAUGCUAAGAUUUACUGAUCUGUGUAAAAAUACUAUUUAGAGAACUACUUCCUUGGAGGUCCCUUUUCUUACAUAGGAUGGACACCAUGUCAUGACGAUACACUUGCUGCUGUUUCGUUUUUUCCUCUUGGUUAACCUAUCUUUUAUCAACAGGGACCUAUGCCUACCAUGAACUCUCAAGGGUUGAAAAAUGAAGCUGUACUUCUCCUUUUCACACACAAGAGUGGAUAAGAAGAAUCAAGGACAAAGGAGGAUUCUGGAAUGUGGGAGCCAACCCAGAAGAAGUAUGUAGGCUGUUUCAGAAGAUUCUGCCUGGAGGGAAGACAGUUUUCCAGGUCCUGUGAGCAUCCCUCCUCCCUCCAAGGAUGUUGCAGCAUGGAGGAAAUAGCUGCACAGCAAGGGAUCAUCUGCUGACUCUAGGACAACCCAUCUUCCAGUUGGGGGGAAUGUCUUUGUUGUGGGAUAUUUGUACACUGGGUGAAGAUGCAUGGCUGUGAUUGGUGUAAUAAAAAGCUGAAUGGCCAAUAGCUGGGCAGGAGGUAGAGGCGGGACUUCUGGGCAGAGAAAGGAAAGCUGAGAGGAGGAGUCUAGGUGCAGGAUUUCGCCAGCAGAUCGUUUGGGGAGCAAGUUGGAUGUGCCAUACUAAGAAGAGGUAACCCAGCUAUGUGACAAAGUGUAGAUUAAAAACUGUGGGUGGAUUACAUUAUAAGAGUUAGUUGGGAAAAGGCCUAAGCUAAGGCCAAGCUUUCAUAAUUAAUAAUAAGUCUCCAGGUCAUUAUUUGCUGGCUGGCGGUACAAAGAUAGUCCAACCGAAAAGCUUGCUACAUGUCUUCACUGAGGGGACAUCGUGGAUGGAAACAGCACUGUGAUGUUCUGGGGGAGCUGACAAGCAAUGGAAACAAGAGCAUGGGGAUGGACAGUGCUGGGCCCAGUUUCUUCCCUUUCAGCUCCCGUGUGUUUCCUUCCAAUACAGAGCUGGGCCCUUGAAACACUUCUCCUUUGCCAGCUCACACGUUAUUUCAUCAGCAAGGGCAGAAAGAGGGCUCUCACAAGAGGAAGUAGUCUCCUUCCUGGUCAUGGUCCUUGAAGGCAUUGGCUUUGAGUCUAGUACUUAGAGCAGAAGUUCUUCUCAGUUAAACUCAGCUGGUGGAAGGGCAAAUUCCUCAUGAGUUUCAGUAAUGCCCUGCAGGUGGCUUCUGAGUGUCACUUGGGCACUCUAGAGAGCCUGAAAGACACCCAGUGCUGUUCACCUCUGGCGAAUUGUGUGGGCAUCCCAGAAAGUAGCUUCUGAGAGAAUGUUGGCAGCAUCCUAGUUGUUAUCUUCACAGAAGGGUCUAUGUCAUCCUGCUGAAGGGCUUUUGUAGCCAGAAGUUUUCCUGUGCCCCCCCCCCCAGUCCACAGCUGCUCAGACCCAAGUAAACACACAGAGGCUUAUAUUAAUUAAAACUGCUCAGCCAUUAGCUCAGACUUACUACUGACUAGCUCUUACAUUUAAACUCAGCCCAUUUCUGUUAAUCUAUAUGUUGCCGCAUUUUCCGUGGCUUUACCUGUGUGCCAUUACAUGCGCUCCCUGAAUGGCAGGCAGGCAUCUCCUGACUCAGCCUUCUUCUUCCCAGAAUUCUCCUUGUGCCUUCUUCUUCCCAGAAUUCUCCUUAUCUGCUUAUCCCACCUAUACUUCCUGCCUGUCUACUGGCCAAUCAGUGUUUUAUUAAACCAGUGUACAAAAUCAUUAUCCCACAGCAGGCUUCCUAUCAUAUUACCUGGGGAGCCUUGCAGAUGCCUGCCCUGCACACUUGGCGGUGCCUCAGCAGGCAACUGAAUCUUGCUAGCACCCCAGUGGGUGGCUUUACAUUUGCAGCCUCAUCAUGUGGCACCUUAGCACACUUCUUAACCAUCCAAUGAGCCUCGGCUACACCCUCUUACUGAGUUCUGAGCCCCAGACUAGACCAGGGUCUUACUCCGUAGCCUAAACAGGCCUCAAAUUCACAGCCUUCUUACUGCCUGUGUUCUGGGAUUUGAGCAUGCCCCCUAUGCCUGGCUGAUGUGUACAAUUCAUUGAUUCUGCAUGUAUAGCCAAAGUGCUCAGUAAAUAGCCCUUAGACUGGAGAGCCGUUGCAGCCCAUAUUUAAGUUUCCCAACAGCUUCAGGUCAAGAGAUAUAAAUAGGAAAACUCCCCCUCCCCGUCCCCUCCACAGAUGUGUUGUUGUAAAACUCCCACCUUUUCCUCAUGGGAGAUUUCCCUGCAGCAGCCCAAGCAGACUCCAUAAGCUCUCUUACCCUGCCAGGCUUACCCAGCUCUCCUUGCUCAUUUGGAUGAGAUGUUUAGCCGUGCCUUAGACGGAGAUGUAACCAAAGUCUAGCAACCGGCCUUCUUUCUGUGUGUUUCCCUCCUCCUGGCUGGGGAUUGUGGGUGGGAGGGACACUCAAGCAUUCCCACCAGGAGGUAGUUCACACCUAAGAGGCUGCUCUUCCGCCCUCUUUGGGCUUGAUGCAUGUUAGAGAAGGAUUGUGCAGAUUAGGAAAUCACAGUCUGUAGCCUGUGAGAGAGGGACAGCUUUAUUACCACAUAGCCCAUGCUCAUACCUCAUCAUCUACAGGUCUAACAGCAGAAGUGAAUAAUUGCAAUCGAAACCAUGUGACUCACAAAGUCCGAAACAUUUGCUCUCUAGCUCAUCACAGAACCAGUUUGCUCAGCCCCAGGUGAGACAAAGAACCAUGACUGAUUUGUUGGUUGAUUGCUGGAACCAAGAGCAGGAACUCAACUUCAAGUCAAUAGCUUCUUAUACAUUUUAAUUAUGAGUAUAUUUUAUACAUGCAUUUAUAUGUAUGCACAUGUGUACAUAUGCAUGUAUUAUUCAUGCUUGGGUUCUUAUUUUAGUUAUUGGGUCACAAUAUAUUACUGUCAUAAUUUUGAUGCAGUAGGAGAGUUCAAGGUAACUCCUGAACCUGUGACACACGUUGUCACCCUUUUAGGACUCUUGUACCACACGUCACAACAGCAUGCUCUGGGCUCAUCUCAGGGCUUCCCUGCCUAAGCUCUGGAACCAGUUAUGUUCCAGGGAGACUGUGACAGACUAGAAUUUUCCCAGGGCUAGAAAAAUAAAUGAUGAAAGCAAACCCUAACAUCCAGGUAGUCUUUGUGGUCACCUGCAGAUGGCAAAAUUGCGGUGCAAAGUAUCCCAUCAGGCAGGCCUUCCUGACAACCUCGUCUAAUGAAGCCCUCAUCCCCCACCCCACCCCACCUGUGCUCCUGUGCCACCACAUUGUUCUGGUGGCUUUGGAGUGC